UUCAAAGAUGACCUUGUGUGUCACUGGAGUUCAGGUUGGAGUUGGACCUAUGAUGGAUAAUGGGGCUUGGGAUCUGAAAUCAUUGGGUGGUGUUGAAAGGUCAUUUAAGGUCUCCUGUCUGCUUGGAGCAAGUCCAACCUCCAUAUUGGAUUCUGGAGUUAGGGUAAUUUCCACAUCAAAAGGUUGAACUCUGUUUAUUUCAAGUGAU